GUUACUGCUAUCGGAGUUCGAUUAAGCCAUGCGAGUCUAAAGGUUUCUUCGGAAACCUUGGCGGACUGCUCAGUAACACGUGGAUAACCUACCCUUGGGACUGGAAUAACCCCGGGAAACUGGGGAUAAUACCGGAUAGAUCAGGGAUGCUGGAAUGCGCCUUGAUCCAAAGCUCCGGCGCCCAAGGAUGGGUCUGCGGCCUAUCAGGUUGUAGUGGGUGUAACGUACCUACUAGCCGACGACGGGUACGGGUUGUGAGAGCAAGAGCCCGGAGAUGGAUUCUGAGACACGAAUCCAGGCCCUACGGGGUGCAGCAGGCGCGAAAACUUUACAAUGUGCGAAAGCAUGAUAAGGGAACUCCGAGUGCCAGUAUCUAAUACUGGCUGUCCUUGUGCCUAAAACGCACAAGAUAGCAAGGGCCGGGUAAGACCGGUGCCAGCCGCCGCGGUAACACCGGCGGCCCGAGUGGUAGCCGCUAUUAUUGGGUCUAAAGGGUCCGUAGCCGGUUCGAUAAGUCUUCUGGGAAAUCUGGUUGCUUAACAAUCAGACUGCCAAGGGAUACUGUCGAACUUGAGACCGGGAGAGGUAAGAGGUACUUCAGGGGUAGGAGUGAAAUCUUGUAAUCCCUGGGGGACCAUCUGUGGCGAAGGCGUCUUACCAGAACGGGUCUGACGGUGAGGGACGAAAGCUGGGGGCGCAAACCGGAUUAGAUACCCGGGUAGUCCCAGCCGUAAACGAUGCUCGCUAUGUGUCAGGUACGGUGUGACCGUAUCUGGUGCCGUAGGGAAGCCGUGAAGCGAGCCACCUGGGAAGUACGGUCGCAAGACUGAAACUUAAAGGAAUUGGCGGGGGAGCACUACAACGGGUGGAGCCUGCGGUUUAAUUGGAGUCAACGCCCGGGAGCCAAAUUCCC
rnacentral:rRNA from 1 species